rnacentral:tRNA from 1 species
GGUAGCUGAGAAAGCGGGUGACUUCAAUGGUUUUAAAGUCCAUCAUUGAUGGGUUCGAGUCCCAUAGCUACCA